rnacentral:rRNA from 1 species
GUAGCGGCGAGCGAACGGGGAGCAGCCCAGAGUCUGAAUCAGCUUGUGUGUUAGUGGAACGGUCUGGAAAGUCCGACGGUACAGGGUGAUAGUCCCGUACACCAAAAUGCACAGGCUGUGAACUCGAAGAGUAGGGCGGGACACGUGGUAUCCUGUCUGAAUAUGGGGGGACCAUCCUCCAAGGCUAAAUACUCCUGACUGACCGAUAGUGAACCAGUACCGUGAGGGAAAGGCGAAAAGAACCCCGGCGAGGGGAGUGAAAAAGAACCUGAAACCGUGUACGUACAAGCAGUGGGAGCACCUUCGGGUGUGACUGCGUACCUUUUGUAUAAUGGGUCAGCGACUUAUAUUCUGUAGCAAGGUUAACCGUAUAGGGGAGCCGCAGGGAAACCGAGUCUUAACUGGGCGUUAAGUUGCAGGGUAUAGACCCGAAACCCGGUGAUCUAGCCAUGGGCAGGUUGAAGGUUGGGUAACACUAACUGGAGGACCGAACCGACUAAUGUUGAAAAAUUAGCGGAUGACUUGUGGCUGGGGGUGAAAGGCCAAUCAAACCGGGAGAUAGCUGGUUCUCCCCGAAAGCUAUUUAGGUAGCGCCUCGUGAAUUCAUCUUCGGGGGUAGAGCACUGUUUCGGCUAGGGGGUCAUCCCGACUUACCAACCCGAUGCAAACUACGAAUACCGAAGAAUGUUAUCACGGGAGACACACGGCGGGUGCUAACGUCCGUCGUGAAGAGGGAAACAACCCAGACCGCCAGCUAAGGUCCCAAAGUCAUGGUUAAGUGGGAAACGAUGUGGGAAGGCACAGACAGCCAGGAUGUUGGCUUAGAAGCAGCCAUCAUUUAAAGAAAGCGUAAUAGCUCACUGGUCGAGUCGGCCUGCGCGGAAGAUGUAACGGGGCUAAACCAUGCACCGAAGCUGCGGCAGCGACACUAUG